rnacentral:misc_RNA from 1 species
UAACCACUCAAGCCUCGGCUUGGUCUUGGGGUUCCGCGGUCUCGCGGCCCUUAAAAUCAGUGGCGGUGCCAUCUGGCUCUAAGCGUAGUAAUUCUCUCGCUAUAGGGUCCCGGUGGUCUCCUGCCAGAACCCCUCUAUUUUUUAC